rnacentral:lncRNA from 1 species
CUUAUUCAAAAAUAUUUGAUCAAACUUUGACUACUUCCUUAGAAUAGAUUCCUGUAACUGGAGUCAGUGGAGUCAAGGGUAUGAACUUGUAAAGAACUCUGUUAAGCCAAGCAGCUCUCGAGGAGGUUGCUUCAAUCAGAAUGUUUGAGCGCCCACUGCCCUGCAUCCUAGUUUGCUGUCCUAAAGCAUCCGGUUCUCAGUCGAGCUGCCCAUCAGAAUUACCUGUGGAGCUUUAAAAAAAUAAGAUACUGGAGCAUCCCCUGAGGCCAAUUGAACCAGAAUCUCUGAGAGUGGGGCCCAGCGGAGGUGUUUUUAAGAAGCUCCCUGGUGAUUCUAAAAUGCAGCCAAGAUAGAAAACCACUGGCCUGCAAGAGACAACGUGCUGAUCAGAUUUCCCUGCUCCAAACCCUCUAAUGGAACAAAAUCCCAAAGCCUUACCUUGGAUGACAAGACCCUGCAUGGCUG